GGACAAUAUGGUUUAAGGUCUUAAUGUGGGCCUUCAGUCGCCUUAGGUCUUCCCCCACCCGACGUGCAGCGUGGGAGUAAAGCUAGUAUAGCAGUGUUAAAAUGAAAUUAAUAUAAAAGUAACAUAAAUCAGUAUAUUUUGUAAUAUGAAACAGAAAUAGCAUAUAAAGUAAAAUAAAAUAGUAAAUCAAUUAGCAAAGCUAGUAUAGCAGUAAUAGUACAGUAUAAAGGACAAACUAUAGCAGCAUAGUGUAAAGUAAAUUUUGUAGUAUGGCUACUAUAGCAGUAGUAAAGCUAGUAGUAAAGCUAGUAUAGCAAUUAAGAGACUCUUCUCUUGGCAUGGAGAACAUUGUGAGUUUAAAGUCUGUUUUGGAACUGAGGUUUGUACUGUCUGGAAAAAGAUGAAAAAGGCUCUUUUUGAUACCAUUCUUUUUAACUUCAAGGGGUUGCUGGGAUACCCUGAAGCAACCUUAAAAUAUGCAAAAGUCUUUCACUUUCACCGUAAGAACUACAUUUUUAAUACAGUUUCAGUAACGGUUCCUUCUAUCAUACUUUUCCUGCAGAAUAUUGUGUAUGUUUAUUCUUCUAGUUAAAAAAUAUAUCAAAUGCAUUUUUCCAUGAUAGAAAGUAUAGCAGAGUAAUCUUUGCCUUCAGGUCAUAAUACUUGAGCCAGAAUUGGAGAGUCAACUGAACUAAAAUUCUCCUAAUAAGCCACAGAAAAGUGACUAAUAUAAUGAUAAACAUAAUCUCUGCUCUUGCUGGAACCAUCAGCACUAUCUGAGAUCGAAUAUUAUUAAUAUUCAUCAUCAAUAUCCCUGGCCUCAGGAUGUCAUUUCUAAGGUGAUUUUUCUCAUCUCUAUUUUUUUUUUCAUUUUUGGUUUCUUAUCUUGUCUUCUUUAUCCUUGCCAUAAUAUUUGUAAUGUUCCACACAGGAACUGUAAUUAAGCCUUUUCUUUGUUCUUUGUCUUCAGUCUCUAAUGCAUUGUAUAAUGUUAUAGUCCUAAAGUAAAACAGUAAGAAUCUACUAAUGUAAACUUUUGGGAAGGUUUUCAAAAGUACGUUUUGAUUUGAAUCGUGUAAUAAGUUGCACUGACAUACAGUUAAGCUUAUAAUGAUGUACCAAGAUCUCUCCACAGAUAUCACAGGAAUAUGGGACCUUCGUGACUUAGAAUUUCUAGAAUCAAGUUCUUGGUGAAAGAACCCAGAUCACGUCACUGUUUGCAAUUGAAGUGGGACAUGGUUCCAGUCCUGCAGACUUUACAAGAAACCAGUUUAAUACCAAACUCAUGGAAUAUCAGAGCUGGAAAACAGGCAAGAUUAGACAUUUAGACUGCUUUGUAUCUGAAUAAAGUGGGAGAGGUGAAAAAAGCUCUUAAUUCUUUCAGUAUUGCCCUUCUUCGCUCUAACCAAAUUAUAUUAUCUCCUGGUUAACAAAUUUAGCCUCUUUCACUUUGAGACUACUGGAAUGCAGAUUUCUUCCCUCUAAUCAGAUGAUUUGCUCAAAAGAUUAAAUCUGUUAUUUUAAGGAAAGCAAAUGCGUCAGCUCAAAUGCUUGAAGGAUCAAAGCAGGAGGUAUGUCUCCUUAAUGAAUGAUUUUGAAACUUUUGGACAAAACAAUGUCAGUGCAAUAAAAAGGAAUCCUGCUCUGCCUGAGGGCAGUAUAGAAAACAAAACAGUGCUUAUAUAAAUAUACUUCAGAAAGUGUAAUAGUAAAAAGAUGAGGAAAAAGGUGGUAGAGAAAGCUUUGCUGGCUACAAUAGGCAUCAAGGUCUUGCUGGGGCUUUGAUGGAUUUCUGGCUGUAAAUGCAGUUUUCCAAUUCAAACUGACUUGAUAACUCAGUGAAUUAAUAAACAGCUUCUUCUAUGUUCUGGUGCUCAGUGGUGAGCAGAAAGUCUAUUGGCCUUGUAAGCAGAACAGGUAGCCAACCAGGAAUGCUUUGGAGAUAUUUUUAAAAGGGAAGACAAAUGUUUUUUCCUUUCCAAAUAGGAAUUUGUUUUGGCUUACCUACCUUUAUCUUUGAUCCCCUGCCAUUAUCUUCUUUUAGCCUUCCCAUUUUCCUUCUUUCAAAUAAUUUUUCUCUAGUAUAGCUCCCCAAAAUAUUCUUGUUUCACUGAUGUUGGCAGAAAAUGCCAAUCUGUUUUAAAUCAAGUUCUGUAGGAAUAUAUUUGUUUCAAUGAAACUACAGCUGAAAGCAAUUAUGGGCUCCAAUUCUGAAUCCCUGUAACAAAAUUAAAAUUAAAAAAUCCCGUGAGCUUUUCUAGCUAGUAGGUUUUAAGUUAGUGGCACUCUCUUGGGAAUGGAGGCUGCAAGUUCAAGUCCCUGUUCCGUCAUCUUCGGAACUGGAAUUGGAACAGAAAAUUGGAUCUGGGUCAACUUCAUUUCAGCCAAGUGUCCCACUCAGCAAGCCCAGAAGCCAACAUCCCUUGUCCAACAAAUGUUUUUUAUUUAAUCGAAUCUUGAAUAAGAGGGAUUUAGGUUCUUCCAUGCUAUGCAGAGGAGGCACUGGUACUUGGCCCCCCAUGCUCCUCUUCCUGUCCUGAGCCAUGUGGCAGUUCCAGGAGCAGAUUAUCAGUUUCAAUAGACCUGAUCCUUUCUAGUAAGCUGGCACUUCUGUGAAGCCCUGGGCUGUCACUCUCUUUGGCGCUGCAGAGACCUUCUGCCUGGUCCCAGAGAUGAAGGCAGGAAACAUGGAGAGGGAACUGAGGAAAUGCAGGCUCCCCAUUCCCCCUUGAUGCUUAGCCUAAUCACAGCCCAACCUUCCGUUCCCAGGUCCAAGGCUGGAAAAUAUGAGGAGGCAUUUGUGUCCAGAUACUAGGGGCAGCAGAACUUGCCUGAAGCAGUUUUUCUUAAGGGAAAAGGCUGGUAAAUGGAAAUUUAGAAGUUCAACAUCUAUUUGAAGUAUUGAACUCUUGUGUUUUCUUCAUUCUUUCCCUGGAUUUACAAGUGUGGGCUAUUUUCAUCCAAACUUGAAGAAAAAGCACGGGCAAACUGGCACGUGUAGUAGCUGGCUUCUUCCUAACUUAUAUAGGCCUGUUAUAAAGGCCUAUAUAAAGGCCUAUCCUUUUUCUCACAAAAGAUAUGUUAAACUCAGUUGUUAAGGGCUUUACAGUGUAAUCAAACCAGCUCAGUACAGCAGGCAUCUCCAUCUUUUUCCCAUAUUAUUACAAAAUCUGCUUUCAAGUAUGUACCCCAUUGCAUUUUGGGAAUUCUGGAGAUUUUAAAUAAAAGAAUCUUCUUUUCUUGAAAGAACGUUCCGGCAAGUUCUUUCAACAGGAGCUUCUCUGCACAGCAUUAGAGAAUGCAGUGUAAAGUUCACUGUUACAGGAAAAGUGUUCCUCUCAUUUAUCAAAGGAUUAUUUUAGGCACAUUAGUUUAAGACGUACCUUUAAAAGGUUGAGCGUUUAGAAAGCUCAACAAAAUCCUUUGUUUUCUCGAUCUGUAUGUUUGCUUUGCCACUUUCAGGCUAUAACUUCGUUUUGUUCAAUGUUUGCUUAUUGAACAUGUUUUCUAAAUGCACACAGAUCAGCCUGGAAACACCAUUUGUUCACAUGUGGGUGUGACCUUAUCUCAAAGUGCCAGGUGGAUAUGGGCAGGUAGCAAGAGAGCUAUGUGAAAAGUAGAGUUUGUCAUUUGCACUUUCUGACAAGUCUUUCUGGGAGAUGGGGAGGUUUAGUCCUUCUUUAGUGGAAGUUGGAUUAAUUUUCUCAAACAAGUCCAAUGGGAAUUCCUAUUAGGUCUGCCAGCUUUGUCUGUUGCAUGAAAUGACAGCUUUGUAUUCAAAUAAAACAAUUAGAUCUCAGAGAAAAUCCUGGUGGUUAAAAAAAUUUAGUUAAAAGUUUUUUGGCUAACCCUGAGGUGGAGGGUUGGUUAUGACUUUGUGGAGAGUUGGUUGUAUAGCACUCAAAGAGUUCCAGAAAAAGGUCCACCCAAAUGUAAGAGAUAAUGACAUAUUCAGAAUGUCAGCUAAAUGAUUAUGCAAGCCACUUUUAUCUGAAGUUUUUCAAUGUAUGACAGGUGUCUUCUCUCCCACAUUCCCACAGCAGAAUGAAGAUCAGUACAGAAAAUGGGAAUUGAUCAUAAUUGCUGCUGAAAUGAAAAGAUAAUGACCAACGUCCUUCUUCAUUGAUGUGAACGAUAUGUUUUCCAUGGAUAAAAUACCUACUUUCAGGAUUGUGGCUCACAAACAGAAAAUCAAUAAGGAGAAAGUUCAAACUCUGCUGCCUGUGUACUAAAUGUUUGCUGACCAAAAUAAGAGCUUAAUAGGCAGAUCUGUGAUCUGUUGAGUUUUAUAAUACUUUGCAGUUUGAAAGUGUUGUAGAAGUAGCCUUCCUGGAAUUGAGACUAUGCACACCCACUGUGUAUUUUCACGAACAAACAAGAGAAAAAGUGGGUUUUUUUAAAGCUACGGGAAAUAGUAGUUUCUAAAAAGCACAUUUCUUCCUCUGAAGAAGUAAGCUCUCAGUUAUUUUCAGAGAUUUUUUCAGCAGGAAAUUCAACACACUUCAGCUGGUAAGAAAAAGUGUGCCUAUGCCUGUUUGUACACAAAUGUUUAUAAAGAACCCUUUCUUAAAGAAUUUAACCCACAGGAUCAAAAUGUAAGAUAAUUUUUAGAUCAGCCACAUCUUACUUCCAUACAUAUUUGUCUUUACUCCUGCUGUAUAAAAGCAUGUGCCUGUUGUAGCUCUUGCCAAAUGCCAUUAAAUGAAAUUAAAAAUACAUCAACUGUUAUUUUUCAGAAUCUGUGACUUCACAGAGUAUUACAACACGAACUCAAAGAACCUCUUGAGUUCUGUUUUAAUUUUAUAAUAUUCUGGUUAAUAAUGUCUGUUAAAACAUCCGUUAAAAGACCAUCGUGCUAAUUUAACUGGGAACAUAUAAUAGAUGCUGUUUAAUGCUUCCAUUAAAUUAAAGCUAGAUUAGUGUCUUUAGUAGAUGUUAUUAUUAACAAUAUCUUAAAUAGAUGCUGUUAUUAAAAAGAGUAAUGCAACAUUAAUUAAAAGCAAGCUGCAACUUCACUGGCAAAAGAAAAACUCUUUACCUAAUGGACACCAAAAUAUUAGCAGUAACAAAACAUUUUCUUGUUUGGUUCACUGUCUUCUGCAUUCCACCAUUAUUUUCCCUUUAGUAUAAUGACCUCAACUGUACUGUGUAAUCAAAUGGAUAUCAAAUAAAUGCUUCCAUAGGGAUGGAAUGCUUCUUA